AUGUACCUCGUAGUUGGGUUGUACCUUCCUCGGGUGUCAAAUGUGAUGAUGUACUUGGUCGUUCAAAUCUUACCUCCAUCUCGGUAUAACGAGAAGGAGUUUACUAUGGUCAGUGCAGUGAGAUUUGUNGAACUAAUCAUGCCUUUACACCUAUCGUCGUAG
rnacentral:rRNA from 1 species